UGAAGUUAACAUUCCCAUACUGGUAACAUUGUUUAAAAGGUAUUUUUAAACUAAGUAGCUCUUUAUAGUUUCACUGAUGUCGAGUGAGGACAUGUUAGCAGCAUUUACCCAUAGGUUUAAUGGCAUUCCAGUAGCUACAUGCUAGCAGUUGCUAAAAGUUAAGAUGUUCGUUAUCUUCUCACUGCGUUAAUAUGAACCUAAAACAUUUUAACUAUGUAUUUCUUCUAAAUGCUGUCUAAAUAAUAUCAUUGUCACAUGUCAAAUCGCACAGUUUGAACAACUAAAUUACCGUUUAUCAGUAAGCUAAUAAUCGCUAAUUAGCUUACAUGAGCGAACAUACUUUCAGAAAAAGUGGGUAACAUUACCAUAAAGUUAACUUUACUGGUUUAUAUUAUUUUAAGCAAAUGCCAAAGGCAUACACUACUUUAGAGUUUUGCUCAUUAUUUAGUAAGAAAUAUGUAUUUUGUGUAAAUUAACUGAUAGCAAUGUUAAUGACAUGUUAAGUAAUAUUAAGUAAUGUUCCUAUUUUAUAGAAAGGUUUAAGAGUAUGGACAAACCAAAUCUCUGAGAGAUGCAACCAGAAGACGGAUGAGAAACAUACUUGAGGCUGAGAUGACAGAAUGACAUGGGACAUCUCCCCCUAAAAGCGUAAGAGUGAUGUAUGCGCAGGACAUUGUUGCUCUGUCUCCACAUCUGGAAGACCCAUAUUCACAACAUGGAUAUAAACAUUACUACGAUCCAGAGAACAGUUCAGGAUACAUUGCAUGGCGGUUGAAGACCAUUCAAAGAAAAGCUGUGGAGGAAAGAAGCGUCUCAGUUUGCAAAUCUCCCAAAAAUAGAACAAGAUUUCCGACUCCUGUUUUGUGAGGUCACUGGGAGCAAAUUCUUGGAGAGGUGGCUCACCAAUCUCAAAGCAAAGGUUGUAAAGGAAAGUCAUGGACUUGUCCCCA